rnacentral:rRNA from 1 species
GAUGAACGCUGGCGGCGUGCCUAAUACAUGCAAGUCGAGCGAACGGACGAGAAGCUUGCUUUUCUGAUGUUAGCGGCGGACGGGUGAGUAACACGUGGAUAACCUACCUAUAAGACUGGGAUAACUUCGGGAAACCGGAGCUAAUACCGUAUAAUAUUUUGAACCGCAUGGUUCAAAAGUGAAAGACGGUCUUGCUGUCACUUAUAGAUGGAUCCGCGCUGCAUUAGCUAGUUGGUAAGGUAACGGCUUACCAAGGCAACGAUGCAUAGCCGACCUGAGAGGGGGAUAGGCCACACGGGAACUGAGACACGGUCCAGACUCCUACGGGAGGCAGCAGUAGGGAAUCUUCCGCAAUGGGCGAAAGCCUGACGGAGCAACGCCGCGUGAGUGAUGAAGGUCUUCGGAUCGUAAAACUCUGUUAUUAGGGAAGAACAUAUGUGUAAGUAACUGUGCACAUCUUGACGGUACCUAAUCAGAAAGCCACGGCUAACUACGUG